UGGAAACAAAACUACUACUGUGAAAGUUGUGAAUAUGGCUGCCACUUUUUCACUACACUGAGUAAGUUGUUAUGCCUUUCAAACAGGAGAAUUCCAACACCAAUAUCCAGAUUAACUGUCAAACAGGAAGCAAUAUUACAGGGGAAAAGAAAAGCAUGCUUUUACGGGGCUCUUGCCAGGAAUGAAAGGUACAGCUUUAACACUGCAGAGUAGAUUUUACAUGGUCACGUAAGUAUACUUCAUAUAUGUUAAAACCAUGACAUCAUAUAAUAUAUUUCUCCCAUUGAAGAAAUCCUCUUUGGUGAGAAAACAAAUUUUAAGAUGUAUUGGGAUGGAAAGUAGGAGGGAUAGCCAGACCCAUCAUUAAGGAUUAGAUAAAUUCCAGAACUGCUCCUUACCUAUAUAAAUUAUUCCAUGAUCCUCAAAUAAAAUACUAUUUCUUUUAUCUCUAAAUUAUUUU
rnacentral:lncRNA from 1 species